GGGGGAAGAAAAAAGAAGCUCAAGUUGUUUUGGAAGGUCAAUAGCAGCUCGCAGAGCAAUUCCAUCAAAUCGAUACUUUGGUUACUGAGCAUCUCAUUAUCCCCGACAUGGAUAUGACGCUCACGGCUUCGGGGAAGAGGGUACAUCGGGGGCCCCCCAUAGCAGCAACAACAGGGGUCCAGGAAAACCCGGCCUCUCCCCAGACACCGCAAAUGUGGUCAAACGGAGCUGGACUUGGUCAGAUGACUUUGUUUGAAUAAAAGUCUGAAUUGGAGAUUCUUUUGAAAUUUAUGAAGUUUUUCUCCCGGUAAGGACUUGGAUAAUAACAAGAAGCAGUUAUCCUAAGGAGCCCCGGGGACCUGUUUUACUGAAUAAGGAUGAUGUGCAAUUAGGCCAGCAAUUGUCACUAAGUGUUUCCGAGGGCUUGAAGUCUCGCGUUCUCAAGCAGUCCCAAUAUCAAGUUCACGUGAAGGAUCCUGGGGCCCUGCACUGCCUCGGUCAACCCUGUUGUGCGCUGGGAGGUGAAGAGGCACAAGAAUAAUGAAUAGUACAUAUCAGCUACUUGCUAAAGGAAACAAAUUUCAAAAUAGGAAACAACGACAACAACAAAAACCCCCGAACACAUGCUAAGUAAGUACAUUAGGAUACAUAGGAAUUAGAGAAAUACUCAGCUCAGGGUUCCUUUACAUAGGAGGUCCCAGGCCUGCCUGUGUUUCUUUGUAGAUCAUUAAUUACUUUGCAAAGGAGUUGGGGUACAGAGGCCCCCUGGCCUGAGCACGGGAACUGAAGAUCAAUGGGAACGUGAUUAGAGGGGUUUUAGGAAGUAGGCGUGCUCUUUUCAAAGCAUCCCGGCUCCCUUUUUUCUCCCCACGGUUUCCAGAGCCCAUUCCAUCCCCUUUGAAUCCGACUUAGUCAGUACAAGACACGAGACACACAGGCGCGUCCCUUCAGCCGGUCUUGCCUCCCUGUGUAGCCAACAGCCCGGCCACCCUGUGGUCCAUCGCAGGGACCGGACCAAGGUGCCGUCCUACACAGCUGGACGAGAGGGCCCUCUGCAGCUCUUUUGAGGAUGCGGGCUGGCUGGAGCCGAAACUAACUGGGCAUCUCAGCAAAGCUCCCGCCGCCUCUGCUGCAGCUGACAGAGAGCGGUGGACACGUCAGCCCGAGCGUCCAGACUGCGGGGAGAACGUCAGGGCUCACUGAAGGUUGGGCUGUCCGGUCUGCGAUGAGUGACCACUCCAAGGGGCACACUUGUCCAUGGCGGAAUGUUCCAGGGGGCAUUUCUCCCACCUGCCUUUCUUUCUCAGAUCGCCCCCACUCGCGCCCGAAUUCUGGACCCUUGUUGACUGCCCACCGGGAAAACUCCGCACCUUGACUGAUGAUCAAUCAGCAUUUACCAGGUGACGCGGGGACGGGAGAAAAAAGGAAAAUGCCUUCCCACCCUCCCUCUCCACCACGGCACACGGCAGCAGGAGUCUCUCCUUCCGACGGUAACGAGCCGUUUGCACUGACCACACUGAAUCAGCUGCAAGACAGCUGGUUCCAAAGGCCGCUGGCAGGAAAAGGAGAGAGCCUUUUAAACGCGUUCACACUGUUCCGAGUGCCUGGGCGCACGCACCGAGCCCGAGGGUUUCCUAGAACUCCCCCGGGCAGCACCAGCACGAAACCCAGAGGCCGGCGACGGGGCCUCUUUCCCCAGCACCGCCUCUUCAGUUCAUUCACGGAAACGCAGCGCCAGCGUUGGGAACGGGGGUCUUCGUGGAACUGCGUGCUGAGGUUUUCAUUCACAUCCUGUGUGAACAGAGCAGUCACGUGGCGACAGGCAGAGCUCUCCAGGGGGUUCUGAACGUCACCCUGGGCCAUGCUGGGUUUCCAGGGACCCUCUGCUCUGAAACUCCAGAGCACAGGUAUAGAACGUUAACACGAUGUGUGGCUGCCAUGUCCGUGUCAUCUCUUCUCUGACUUUUUUUGGGGGGGGGGGGGCACUGAAAAUGUAUCACCAGUCAGCCUCUAGAACACAUAAAGGUGUGUUCUCUGGGCUAAAGUCAAAUCUUAGUAACACAGCAAUUACAGUUUAAGAUAAACUAUCUCCUUGGUUUGUUUGUUUGUUUGUUUUUAAACAAAGAAUAUUGAGUGUGAUAUGGGACGAGAGGAUGAUCCCAGGCAGCCCUCUGGCCAGCCCUCAGCCCAGAGUCACACCACGGGGGACACGCCACCCCCCGGAGCGGCUCUGGGCACGUGAUCGCCUGUUCAGGUGCUCUGGCGCUUCCGAAACAUCCCUGUCAGCGGCAAAAUACAGCCCUCGCCUCGGUCUUUAUCACGCUGGUUGCCAGACAACUGCACAGAGCUGGAGUGGGGAAUGUUACAGCAAACACGUCCCUGAAACAUUUAUAGGUGUCAUUGAUAAACAAUAGGAAAUUUAAAAGAGAUACAAAUGUAUUCCUGGAACCUUAAAUCUUCCCCCCACCGGGGCCUAGGAACUUGCAGUCUCCGUGCACCUGGCGGGGAAGGAGGAAAACAAAUUCCAGAGGAAGUCUGCAGAUUUAUGCCCUAAAUAUGUCUUCCUCGAGAAUGUUUAACACACUUAAGCCUUAGUCAUUCCAUACACUUUGAAAACGCUCCGCGACAAUAAAUUAUAGUAGCUGCAUCUUUCAUUGCAAUUCACAUAAAUAUCAUUUUGCUUUCAGGAAACCAAUUAUAGAGUAGUAAAUCAUUUUUACAUUGCUUCCCCCAAAUCUUUAAUUCAAGUUGCAACAUGGACUGGAAUCGCAAUAAAAAUACAGCUUACGCAGUCGAUCCUUCAGUCUUCCACAUGGAGCAAGCCCA